rnacentral:rRNA from 1 species
AGAGUUUGAUCCUGGCUCAGGAUGAACGCUAGCUACAGGCUUAACAUAUGCAAGUCGAGGGGAAACGACAUCGAAAGCUUGCUUUUGAUGGGCGUCGACCGGCGCACGGGUGAGUAACGCGUAUCCAACCUGCCCACCACUUGGGGAUAACCUUGCGAAAGUAAGACUAAUACCCAAUGACGUCUCUAGAAGACAUCUGAAAGGGAUUAAAGAUUUAUCGGUGAUGGAUGGGGAUGCGUCUGAUUAGCUUGUUGGCGGGGUAACGGCCACCAAGGCUACGAUCAGUAGGGGUUCUGAGAGGAAGGUCCCCCANAUUGGAACUGAGACACGGUCCAAACUCCUACGGGAGCA